CCUACGGGGGGCUGCAGUGGGGAAUAUUGGACAAUGGGCGAAAGCCUGAUCCAGCCAUGCCGCGUGUGUGAAGAAGGCCUUCGGGUUGUAAAGCACUUUCAGUGGGGAAGAAAGCCUUGGGGCUAAUACCCUCGAGGAAGGACAUCACCCACAGAAGAAGCACCGGCUAACUCCGUGCCAGCAGCCGCGGUAAUACGGAGGGUGCGAGCGUUAAUCGGAAUUACUGGGCGUAAAGCGCGCGUAGGCGGUCUGAUAAGCCGGUUGUGAAAGCCCCGGGCUCAACCUGGGAACGGCAUCCGGAACUGUCAGGCUAGAGUGCAGGAGAGGAAGGUAGAAUUCCCGGUGUAGCGGUGAAAUGCGUAGAGAUCGGGAGGAAUACCAGUGGCGAAGGCGGCCUUCUGGACUGACACUGACGCUGAGGUGCGAAAGCGUGGGUAGCAAACAGGAUUAGAUACCCUAGUCGUC
rnacentral:rRNA from 1 species